CCGCCUCGUAGCUCAGCGGCGCCUCGUGGCGCGCGCCGCGCUCCGCCUCGGGGCCCCAGCCGCGCCUGCCGAACUCACGCCCGGGGUCAUCGACACUUUGCCGAACACAAAUGUUACACACGAUGAGGUUAAAAACCGGAACUUACUUGAGAGAUCUUCUCGAAGAGCGUUUGGCGAGGUUCGCUAAAGAAUGCGGAUCUUCAGGAUGUCCGUUGGUGAGCGCUGGUAUCUCGUGAGUGAGCGAGCCAGUCCGCGAGCCGGGGCCCAGCCCCGCAGCAACAUCCAUCAGGCAGUUAAACAAGGACGCCUUCUGCACCACGGACCCAUCAUCUACUCUCCCCGUACAUUUGCGCAAUCUCAUGUACCGACCUUAGCCGCUGACUGAUGCUCUUCGUAUAUGGCUACACGAGUAUGCGCAAAUGCCCCAAACAAUACAUAUCCAUGCUGGAGUUCGUUAUGUGUUAGUAUAUCUGUUCGUGUUUUGUUCUGUGUAAGAGUUAUGAGCCAUGAAAUCGAACAUGGAAUGUAUUCAUAGUGUCUGUGAUGAUGAGAUCAGCGUUCUAAGACCUGAGAAAACUCAUGUUAUUUGCAUUACACAGCCUGAAAGUGAUGGACAUUUUGGAAAAUUUUAUGUAGUUUCGUGGAGCUGCAAAUGACACAAAGCAUAGUUGUUUAUUUUCAGUGCAUUAAAUGUGCAAUUACGAGUAUGAGACCACAGAUACUGAAUCCAUAUGACGAUUUGUAUUUGUUUUUUUAUUAGUUUAAUAUUUGAAAAAGAUUGAUUAUGCAUUAAUGGCA